rnacentral:rRNA from 1 species
UUACAAGCUGUGGAAGCACAUUUCUUGUGUGACCGCGUACUUUUUGUAGAACGGGCCAACGAGUUACGUUAAGUAGCAAGGUUAAGCACUUAAGGUGCGGAGCCGUAGCGAAAGCGAGUUUUAACUGAGCGUUCAGUUACUUGACGUAGACCCGAAACCGGGCGACCUACCCAUGAGCAGGAUGAAGCGAAAGUAAAAUUUCGUGGAGGUCCGAACCCACGAGCG